GACAGAGGGGGCAAGCGUUGCUCGGAAUCAUUGGGCGUAAAGCGCGCGUAGGUGGCCAUUUAAGUCCGCUGUGAAAGUCAGAGGCUCAACCUUUGAAAGCCGGUGGAUACUGGAUGGCUAGAGUACGGAAGAGGCGAGUGGAAUUCCUGGUGUAGCGGUGGAAUGCGCAGAUAUCAGGAGGAACACCAAUAGCGAAGGCAGCUCGCUGGGACGUUACUGACACUAAGGCGCGAAAGCGUGGGGAGCGAACAGG
rnacentral:rRNA from 1 species